rnacentral:rRNA from 1 species
GACGAACGCUGGCGGCGUGCUUAACACAUGCAAGUCGAGCGGAAGGGCCCUUUCGGGGGUACUCGAGCGGCGAACGGGUGAGUAACACGUGAGUAAUCUGCCCCUGGCUUUGGGAUAGCCACCGGAAACGGUGAUUAAUACCGGAUAUGACCACUUUGCGCAUGCGUUGUGGUGGAAAGUUUUUCGGCCAGGGAUGUGCUCGCGGCCUAUCAGCUUGAUGGUGAGGUAAUGGCUCACCAUGGCUUCGACGGGUAGCCGGCCUGAGAGGGUGACCGGCCACACUGGGACUGAGACACGGCCCAGACUCCUACGGGAGGCAGCAGUGGGGAAUAUUGGACAAUGGGCGGAAGCCUGAUCCAGCAACGCCGCGUGAGGGAUGACGGCCUUCGGGUUGUAAACCUCUUUCAGUACCGACGAAGCGUAAGUGACGGUAGGUACAGAAGAAGCACCGGCCAACUACGUGCCAGCCGCCGCCGUAA